CACGCAUUGUGCAACUGAAGUCCAAGUUCCAGGCUGUCUGCUGAGUGCCAUAGGAAGGGAGGAGAAACAGGACAUAAGAUUAAGGAGAUCAUGGCUGCCAUUGAUCGGAAUCCUAUCAUUGGCUCGUUGAGAGUUUGCCACCUGCAAGCACUUGUUGUGUACUUGAAGGCCCUGAGAAACUCAAAGGAAUACCUGAGCUGCCAGGACUGGUGUCAUCACUGAAAGCGGUCAUAAACAACUUGGCAGAUUCAUCUAUUUCCUCCAGCCAAAGCGACUCAC